UACAGAGGGUGCGAGCGUUAAUCGGAAUUACUGGGCGUAAAGCGUGCGUAGACGGUUAUUUAAGUCGGGUGUGAAAGCCCCGGGCUCAACCUGGGAAUUGCAUUCGAGACUGAAUAGCUAGGGUACGGUAGAGGGAAGCGGAAUUUCCGGUGUAGCGGUGAAAUGCGUAGAUAUCGGAAGGAAGACCAGUGGCGAAGGCGGGUCUCUGGACAGUUCCUGACGCUGAGGCACGAAGGCCAGGGGAGCAAACGGG
rnacentral:rRNA from 1 species